UUUUCCACCCAGCUGAGCCCUUGCCGGCCGUCGGGGAGGGAGACCGGCCAGACAAGGCUGCAGUGAAGACCCGGGAGGAAUUCCGGCUGCGUGUCCGAACGGAGCCUGAGAUUCAACGUCCGUGGACCGGGCCCCUUUCGAGGUUCAGUUGGGACAUCUAUUGCAACAGGAGCAGGGUGCGAGCUGCUGAGAGCUUGGUCUUCGCACCCCGCGCGCGGGGCUGGGCCCCCAGCUGAGGAGGGCGGGGCUGGCCGGAGGAAAUUCUUCAGGCUCCUGAGAGCAAAGGUCAGGCUUCCUCCUGAGCCUCAGAAGGCGGUGAAGGUCAAGGAACAAGGUCACAGCCCGGAGGAAGCAGAGGAGACCUGACAACUGAAUGGGCUGUGCAGUCCUAGAUGGGGCCACGGGCAGAAAAGGCGAUUCGUAGGCUCUGAAUAUAGUCUGCAGCUCAGCUCAUGGUGACGGAGGGUGUUGGUAUCGGUCCUGACAAUACACCGCGGUUGGGGAAAAUGUUAAUGUCGGAGAAG